GAUGAACGCUGGCGGCGUGCUUAACACAUGCAAGUCGAACGGUGAACGAGGGAGCUUGCUCCCUCCGGAUCAGUGGCGAACGGGUGAGUAACACGUGAGCAAUCUGCCCUGGACUCUGGGAUAAGCGUUGGAAACGACGUCUAAUACCGGAUACGAGGCGUGGGGGCAUCCCCAACGCCUGGAAAGAACUUCGGUCCAGGAUGAGCUCGCGGCCUAUCAGCUAGUUGGUGAGGUAACGGCUCACCAAGGCGACGACGGGUAGCCGGCCUGAGAGGGUGACCGGGCACACUGGGACUGGGACACGGCCCAGACUCCUACGGGAGGCAGCAGUGGGGAAGAUUGCACAAUGGGCGCAAGCCUGAUGCAGCAACGCCGCGUGAGGGACGACGGCCUUCGGGUUGUAAACCUCUUUUAGCAGGGAAGAAGCGAAAGUGACGGUACCUGCAGAAAAAGCACCGGCUAACUACGUGCCAGCCGCCGCAGUAAAAC
rnacentral:rRNA from 1 species